rnacentral:sRNA from 2 species
UUCCCUUGGUUAGGAUCUCUCAAACUUCGUCUGGCUUUGAUUCCGGACCAUUUUGCUGUAAACGAUGCGACGACUUGAAACCACCGUUCUCAGAGCUUCAUUUACUUAGUGCGUUCCAGGACCACUGUAAAAUGCUAAAACAAAUCCAAAACCCAUGGUGGCAUGGGGAUUGCCAGUGUGGAGACUUAUGGCGACUGAUUAACUCACAUCUAGGGAAGCGUCUGGCCGAUGUGGCUUUGAGCCGGUUGCUAGAUGAGCGGAGAUGAUUGCGGGUGUGGCCUCGCUCUUCUUUUGGCCACUGACGCAAAGGAAGCUAAAUUUCGGCCUCUGCUUCUGCAUCGCCAGCGAUCCGGCUAGCCUUCCAGCGACUAGUUCAAGCUGACAGGACAGGCCUUGUUUAAGCAUUUUCCAUCUCCAUUAUUGGCUUGCUGAUACCUUGUUGAGCCAACGCGGCACCAGACCAGUCUGCUGGGUCCAUGAAUUUGCGG